AUGCUUCACUGCCUCAAAGUUGUUCAAGUCUCUGGGUUAACUAUAUUUAAACAGAAUUACAGUGCUUACUAGUGUGACUGUUGGGGCUACUCCUGAUAAUUUUGGAGGACUAACGAAGAGAGAUACACAAAUCCUGGGACAGGCAAAUGUGCUAUUUAUGAUUAAAGGGAGAAAGUGGAUUUCAGACACUAAAUACUUGUGAAAUUGAAGUCAAGAUCUAGAAAGGCAAGUGAUGACUCUGAGUAGCAGCGUGGGUAUGGAAAGUAAUUGACUUCCUUUUUUACACGUAUUUAAUUUCUUUUUAUGGCAGUUACUAGACAAUCUGCCAUUAUUUUUUUUUGAUCCAUGUGUUCAAUAAACACAUACCUAUUAAGUAUUUACUUGGCUCUGAGGCUGAGUAUGGGAGAUCAGAGAUAAUCAGACCCUGCUUCUGACCCUGAGAGUUCCAACUUUAUUUGGGAACACACAUGGAAUUGAGAAAGAGGAACAGCUCUGGAUGGCUGCAAUGGCUGGAGCUGAACUGAUCCGAAGCCAGGAGGCAGGAGCUUCUUCCUGGUCUUCCACGUGGGUGCAGGGGCCCAAGGACUUGGGCCAUCUUCUACUGCUAUCCGAGGCCAUAGCAGAGAGCUGGAUUGGAAGAGGAGCAGCUGGGACUAGAACCAGCACCCAUAUGGGAUGCCGGAGCUUCAGAUCUGCAAGGACAGCUUUGGAUGCGUUUGUGGAAAAAUGCCUGGUUGUUCUUCAGGAGCUGCUUUUCUUUCAAGCUAAGUAGCGUAACAAUGUUUUGGUUCUUUUUCUUAAUUUGUGUGUGUGUGUGUGUGUGUGUGUGUCUGUGUGUUUAUGGUUGCAAAGAAUAGAGAUUUGACUUGUCCCCACUCUUGGUAAUUCAGAGUAAAAUUGUGAGGGCACAAACCGUAAGAAAAAGCCAAGCAAUUAGCGUUACAGAAGGUGAAAUUUCCAGAAGGUUGCUGAGGCUUCAACCACAGAAUCAGGGAGGUUUGCUCUGGUCUUGCCCUUUUAGCGUGACCGGGCUACUCCCCAAAUGCUUGCUUUUCUCUUUACCAUUUGGUUUUCAAAUCUCACAUUUUAUUAUGUCCCUCCUGAUUUCUUCUUCUCUUCUUGAAAUUUGACUUGAGAAAUCGACAGAGUGAGAUCUUCAGUCGUCUGGUCGCCUGGUGUCCCUCCCCCUAGCCCCGCAAUGCCCAUAACAUCCAGGGCUGUGUCAGGCCCAAACCAGAAGCUGGAAACUGAAUCCAAGUCUCCCCUGUGGUUGGCAGGGACCGAAGAAUCUGUGGCAUCACCUGCUGACUCUCACGGUGCACAUUAACAGAAAGCUAGAAUUGGGAGCAGAGCGGGGACUUGAACUUGGGCACUCUGAAAUGGGAGGCAGGCAUCUCGACGAGUAUCUUAGCUGUUAGGCUGAACAUCCUCCUCCUAAUUUCUAUACCUCAUGAUAUUGAGUUUUAUACAGAGGAGUCUAUACAACCUCACAGGUGUAUGGGGGGAAACACAACAUGUCACCAGCACUGAGACUGAGAGGGUUGAUAUGCCAAAAGGGGACACACGACCAGGACAAGAAAUGCUAUAGGUGAUAACCAGACAAUGAAAGACCAGAAAUGACAAGGUACCCUGACUUGGUAAGAUUUAGCAAAAAUAGGUGCCUGUGAGGUACUCAAAGUUUAAUCAUAAACAUGUGAGCAAAUGAACAUUUCAUGACACUUGAGUUUUGAGACUGAGUAAAAUUCAAACCAGCUACACAGGCAAAUCAUCUAAAAUGGGAGUUCUCUGUCUAUCAUACCUACUUGUCUCAGAGAGGGCCAUCCACGCUAAGCCAAGUCUCAAGUAUUCAUUUAUUUAUAAGAAUUCAUGGGACUCUAGCAUAGUGUGAAAGCAUGUUAAAUCCCAAUUUCUGCUUUCAAUUAAUAAGUAAAGUUGUCUGCUUAAUAAUGGAUUUUGUUUUCUAUCAGAGAAUCUGUGGCUUGGACACAUUUUCUUUUGGCAGCUUCCAAAAUACAUUCUCUUCUCCUCAGUUCCAAAAUGUCCGACACUUCGAUUAACUCUUAUUGAUCUCUCCUACUGAAUCUCCAGGAUUAUUAUUAUUUGGUGGAGAGAUGACAUAAUCUUUAGGGGCUCACUUGCUUCUCAAAGAUAAAAAUUAAAGCAAUUUAUGGCUUCUCUUAAAAAUAAAAUAAAUAUGAUAUUUUACAAUUAUAGCCAGUGAACACAAAAACUUUAAAGAGUAAAAAUGUCCUUUACUGGAGGUGAGAGGUUAAGAGCAGAGUUGAGUCAGAGACAUGGCUCACAUGAGUUUCUUGGCAAUAAAAAGCGUGUUUUACAUUUUUACACACUGCGGUGAUGGAUGACAUGUCAUCGACAUGACUACAUCAAAAUAGAAAUGCCAGACUCUUCCCAUCGGGAGGUUGCUGGAGGAACACGGGAGUCCAGAGGCUGACCUGUCGAGAACGCCAUGCUUCGUUUUACAUGUGUUAAUGCAUUUUUUUCUUGCAUUAAUCCUACGAUGUUGGCACUAUGAGAUUUUGUUGUUGCUGUUGUUGUUGUACUAGAGAUGAAACUGAAACAUCCGGAAUCUAAGUCAAGAUCACACAAUUAGUCAUUGGUCAAAUGUGAAUUCAAACCAGGUGCUGAGCCAGGUGUUCUACAUAAAUUAUCUCAUUUGUUUUCUCUGACAACAUAAUAAGAUGCUCACAACAACCGGACUUUGGCCAGGAUAAAACUAGGAGUCUACAGCUCCAUUGUGAUCUCCCAGCUCUCUGCUACGGCCUAAGAAAGCAGUGGAAGGUGGCCUAAGUCUCGGGCCUCUGGACCCACGUGGGAAACCCGGAAGAUGCUCCUGGCUCCUGACUUUGAAUUGGCUCAGCUCUGGCCAUUGCAGCCAUCUAGGGAGUGGACCAGUGGAUAGAAGACCUCUUUCUUUCUCUACCUCUCUCUGUAACUCUGUCUUUCAAAUAAAUAAAUAAAAUAAAUCUUUAGAAAAUGAUAGUUUUAAAAGUACAA